rnacentral:rRNA from 1 species
GACAGAGGGUGCAAACGUUGUUCGGAAUUACUGGGCGUAAAGGGCUCGUAGGCGGCCAACUAAGUCAGACGUGAAAUCCCCAGGCUCAACCUGGGAACUGCGUCUGAUACUGGAUGGCUUGAGUUCGGGAGAGGGAUGCGGAAUUCCAGGUGUAGCGGUGAAAUGCGUAGAUAUCUGGAGGAACACCGGUGGCGAAGGCGGCAUCCUGGACCGACACUGACACUGAGGAGCGAAAGCCAGGGGAGCAAACGGG